UCUGGUUCAAGACGGCUUGAUUCCCAGCCGAACAGUUCGGCCGCAGCAAAGCUGCCCUGGGACUUUCUGAAGACAACUCCACACGCGCGCCCGCGAGCACGCGCUUCCCUUCCCUUAGCCCGAUCGGUUAUGCCCUGCCAACGCUGCGGGCUGAUUUCGGGAAAUUUUCUGGCCGUAGCCCCGUCUAGGGUCAGCCAAGAAGUAAAUGAAUGAAUAAAUAAAUAAGGCAUUGUUAAUGGGGGUCCGGAGGGUAGGUGGGGGAUGAAGAGGACGGGUGGACAGGAAGGCGCAGGGGUUUUGCCUAACAGGGCGACUGAGCUCUCCAUCUUCCCUCUAAGCCUGUUAGGGACACAUUCUCAUGUCCUUAAACGUACAAGCAGAUAAUUGUUGGCGCUCUAUCUUUGUGCGAAGGAGGCCAGGGUGUAAAUGCCUUUUAAUGACUGCAGCUGCUGGCUGAAAACUGUCAAUGGAAUUGGCUAAUGCAGAGCCCCCGGAAAAGGGGGAGAGGGGGAAAAAAAGGGGGCUUUUGCGAGGGAGCUGCUGAGCCUGAGCGCCGUUGGAGCCGAAGAGGGAGGCUGGAGAGGGCGAGAAAGAGACAGGCAGACAGGCAGACAGACAGAAAGAAGAAGAAAAAGAGCGGGGGUGGAUUGGGGGGGGGGAGAGGGAGAGGGAGAGAUUGGAGGAAAGAUCGCAGCGACCAAGCCACCCGCUCUUCCGCCUCUGCACCAGGGCGAAGGAAAACAAGUCUUUCUGCCCUAGAAAAAUCUUUUCCGGCUCCUGAGUAUGGCUGGUCUGAACCUUCAUUUUACAAUUACUGCCAACAUUGGAUAUAUGGGAGAGCACCUGCUGCAGAUGCCCUCCAGACGGAAGGGGACGCCGGAAGAGAAGGGAGGAGGAAGAGGCGAUGGUGA
rnacentral:lncRNA from 1 species